CGGCGGACGGGUGAGUAACGCGUGGGUAACCUGCCCCACUACAGGGGGAUAACAGUUGGAAACGGCUGCUAAUACCGCAUAAGCGCACAGUACCGCAUGGUACCGUGUGAAAAACUCCGGUGGUAUGAGAUGGACCCGCGUCUGAUUAGCUAGUUGGUGGGGUAACGGCCUACCAAGGCGACGAUCAGUAGCCGACCUGAGAGGGUGACCGGCCACAUUGGGACUGAGACACGGCCCAA
rnacentral:rRNA from 1 species